CACGUAGGGCGCAAGCGUUGUCCGGAAUUAUUGGGCGUAAAGAGCUCGUAGGCGGUCUGUUGCGUCCGCUGUGAAAACUCGGGGCUUAACCCCGAGCCUGCAGUGGAUACGGGCAGACUAGAGGUAGGUAGGGGAGAAUGGAAUUCCCGGUGUAGCGGUGAAAUGCGCAGAUAUCGGGAGGAACAUCAGUGGCGAAGGCGGCUGCCUGGCCCAAUACUGACACUCAGGUGCGACAGCGUGGGGAGCAAACAGGG
rnacentral:rRNA from 1 species